AUCUGGCUCAGGAUGAACGCUGGCGGCGUGCUUAACACAUGCAAGUCGAACGAAGCACUCUAUUUGAUUUUCUUCGGAAAUGAAGAUUUUGUGACUGAGUGGCGGACGGGUGAGUAACGCGUGGGUAACCUGCCUCAUACAGGGGGAUAACAGUUGGAAACGACUGCUAAUACCGCAUAAGCGCACAGGAUUGCAUGAUCCGGUGUGAAAAACUCCGGUGGUAUGGGAUGGACCCGCG
rnacentral:rRNA from 1 species